AAUGGAAAUUAAGGGUUGAGGAAAAAUGCAGUCUUCAUUAUAGUGUAAAUUUGAUGAUCAGUGGCUUUGAAAGUGAAUUGUUUGUCUAUGGGAUGUAAUUCAAAGAGUAAAAUAUCUUUGUUACAGUUGGAGAAUUUCAGGCGAACUAAUUGGCCUGACCGGGACAAAAGAAAAAGACCACUUUGCAGAAGGCACAACAAUGCUGAGAAGAGAAAGUCCCACCGUUCAAAAGUGCACAGGACAAAAUGUGCUGCAGACUUGAUCUUUCUGAAACUCCUGACAGAGGUAGAGGUGCGGCAGCAAAGAACACCUGGCAGUGAUGAAGCAAAUGCUGCAGCCUUUGCUGUAUCACAUGAUAAAAGAAAAACUGGACUGGUCUAGUUUAAAUAUUUUCAGAUUAGGUUUAAGAGCAAACUUUUUAAAAAAAAUAACCAUGGAGUCAUCCUUGUGCUGUAUUUAACAAGCUUGUGGAAUAUUCCCAGAUCAAUUCCCAAGUUACUAGCAAACAUCUGGUAAACUUCUACUGAAGGGACAACACAGAAUUUUGAAUAACAGACUAUGUUCUGUUUGUUUAAGGAAACGCAGAUGUUUCUGUGCUGGCCAGCUGGAUUGGGAUGAAGAGAGUCCUGCUGGCAGAUAUGUACCAACCCACUGUAAGCCACUGAAGGUGAGACGGGGGAAAUAGUUUUGAGGAGAGGAGCUUCGAGUGUAAUUAAAAGAUAAACAACAGAGCUUUUUUUUUUUUUAAAUUUUCAUUAAUGAAUUCAUAAUGAUGUGCCAGGAUUCUGACCACAAAGAACCUCUUUGACCUUGUUCAGAAGAUGCUCAAGUAUGACCCAAACAAGCGCAUUACUCUUAAAGCAGCACUGCAGCAGCCUUUCUGCCCACACAUGCCGAAAAAGGGUGCAGGCUCCUGAAGCCAAGCAGGCUGACUCACAGGGCAGUGCACCAAAGAAACCUGCAUGUCACAGACUACUUAUUACUUGGUUAUUUUGUAAAUACUUUAUGUUGUAAAUGCUUUGCUUAGUAGUAUGACUUUCUGGAUACUUAGGUUUAAUCCAGCUGUUGACAUCAAACUUACUUAGUAUACAGUAAACUGGUUAUGUUUUCUCAUUAAAUCAAACUUGUGGGACACUGGCACUUUUAACAUAUGGAAAAGAGCACCCUAACACCAAGAAAGUAUUAUUUUAAUUAUGUUUUAUUCAAUGGUCCUUGAAAUAGCAGAAGACCUGCUUUUUUUAACCCUUUAGUGUCACUGUUGCAUUCUUUUUGGAUAAGGAGCAGAAACAUCCCUUGAUAUUGUGUAAGGAUGGCCUUUAUUUGCUUUAAAAAAAAAAAGUUACAAAGUAAGGAAGAUCACUGUAGUACUGAACAGAUUGCAUUGUGAUGACCAAUUUUUUCAUUAUUUUAUUAGGUGUACUCUGGUUACCAGUAUUUCAGUUAAUGCUCACUUAGCUUACAACAGUAUAGACUUCACUCUUUGACCCAAUCUUUCUGAAUUGAACUGUCCUGAGAAUUCCCAUUAGGAAUUAAGGUUUCAGGGAGCAGAUAAGCUGUUCGGUUUAGCAUGUCAACUGCCAGCAUAAAAGAAUCUUUAA